GCCUGACCAGCUCAGUCGGUAGAGCAUGUGACUCUUGAUCUUGGGGUCAUGAGUUAAAGCCCCACGUUGGGCA
rnacentral:tRNA from 1 species